rnacentral:rRNA from 1 species
GAUGAACGCUGGCGGCGUGCCUAAUACAUGCAAGUCGAGCGAACGGACGAGAAGCUUGCUUCUCUGAUGUUAGCGGCGGACGGGUGAGUAACACGUGGAUAACCUACCUAUAAGACUGGGAUAACUUCGGGAAACCGUAGCUAAUACCGGAUAAUAUUUUGAACCGCAUGGUUCAAAAGUGAAAGACGGUCUUGCUGUCACUUAUAGAUGGAUCCGCGCUGCAUUAGCUAGUUGGUAAGGUAACGGCUUACCAAGGCAACGAUGCAUAGCCGACCUGAGAGGGUGAUCGGCCACACUGGAGCUGAGACACGGUCCAGACUCCUACGGGAGGCAGCAGUAGGGAAUCGUCCGCAAUGGGCGAAAGCCUGACGGAGCAACGCCGCGUGAGUGAUGAAGGUCUUCGGAUCGUAAAACUCUGUUAUUAGGGAAGAACAUAUGUGUAAGUAACUGUGCACAUCUUGACGGUACCUAAUCAGAAAGCCACGGCUAACUACGUG